rnacentral:rRNA from 1 species
UACGGAGGGUGCAAGCGUUAUCCGGAUUCACUGGGCUUAAAGGGCGCGUAGGCGGGUUGGUAAGUCCGUGGUGAAAUCUCCGAGCUUAACUCGGAAACUGCCGUGGAUACUAUCAAUCUUGAAUACUGUGGAGGUAAGCGGAAUAUGUCAUGUAGCGGUGAAAUGCUUAGAUAUAACAUAGAACACCGAUAGCGGAGGCAGCUUGCUACACAGUCAUUGACACUGAGGCACGAAAGCGUGGGGAUCAAACAGG